UAAAAUAAUGGCAUCCGGAAGCAGUUUGGGCUUUCAGUUCGCUUUCAACAUUGGUUUUUGUAUGGCGUUUGUCACCGCGUUCCUUGUACUGUUUGUAAUUAAGGAGCGCGUGAGCGGCGCCAAGCUGCUGCAGCGUAUCUCGGGCGUGCGGCCCGCGGUGCUGUGGUCGUGCUCCCUGGUGUGGGACUGGACCUGGAUGCUGUGCGUGUACCUCAGCAUCGUGCUGACCCUGGCCUGCUUCCAGGAGAACACGCUCUCCACGCCCCAAGAGUUGGGCAGAGUCCUAUUGGUGCUGGUGGUGUUCUCGCUGGCGAUAAUACCGCUGCACUACCUCGCGUCAUUCUACUUCGAGGCGGCCGCCACUGGUUUCUCGAAGAUGUGCUUCUUGAAUAUAUUCACUGGUUGUAUGCCGUUCUUAAUAACGGAAGUAUUGCGGCUACCGGAAGUUGGAAGUCCGUUCUAUGCUUCCAUAUUCGACUGGGUGUUCGCGCCGCUGCCUAUCUAUUGCAUGAGCAGAAGUUUUAGGGAUAUGACAGUGUCGUCGUUCUCGCUGCUGGCCUGCGACAGUCUGUGCGGCCAGUACGUCAACAUGGACAACUGUACGCGGGACACGUUGUGUCACAAGCUGAACAUAUCCGUUUGCUGUAUCGAUGACGACCCGUUCCUAAGCUGGAGUGAGCCCGGUAUCGGGCGCUAUCUGUUCAUGAUGACAUUGGUCGGAGCCGUAGCUUUCGCUGUGCUGCUCAUCAAGGAAUAUGAAAUUAUUAACAAGGUGCUCUACUCGGACAGCCGGCCACCGCCCGCCGCCGGCCGCGACGAGGACGGCGACGUGGCGGCCGAGCGGCGCGCCGUCCGCGAGCUGGCGCCGGCCGGCCUGGCCGCCCGCAGCCUGGUGUGCAGGGAGCUGACCAAGUACUACGGGGGCUUGCUGGCCGUCGACAAGCUGUCGUUCGCCGUCCGCAAGGCCGAAUGCUUCGGUCUCCUGGGCAUCAACGGCGCGGGCAAGACGACCACCUUCAAGAUGCUGACGGGAGACGAGCGCAUCAGCAGCGGCGACGCCUACGUGCACGGCCACUCGCUCAAGACGCACAUCCACGACGUGCACAAGCACAUGGGUUACUGUCCACAAUUCGACGCGCUGCUAGACAACUUGACGGCGCGAGAAACGCUCAAGAUAUUCUGCCUCCUGCGAGGUAUUCCGGUACGGGUCGGUUCGGCGCGCGGCAUCCAGUUGGCCGAACAACUCGGAUUUUUGAAGCAUUAUGAUAAAAAGGUCCACGAGUGCAGUGGUGGCACAAAACGAAAGAUAAGCACGGCCGUGGCAUUACUAGGCGACGCCCCUCUUGUGUUUCUCGAUGAACCCACCACGGGUAUGGACCCGGCUUCCAAACGACGCGUGUGGAGCUGUGUGAGCAGCGCGGUGGUGGGGGGUCGCAGCGUGGUGCUGACGUCACACAGCAUGGAGGAGUGCGAGGCGCUGUGCUCGCGGCUCACGGUGAUGGUCAACGGACGACUGUACUGUCUGGGGCCGCUGCAACACCUCAAGAACAAGUUCUCACAAGGUUAUACACUGAUUGUGAAGUGCAAAGAUGUUCCCGCUAGAAGUACUGAAGUAGCAAAUAUAAAACAAUUUAUACUAGACAAUUUCAAAGAAGCGAGACACAUUGAAUCAUACAUGGGCAUUAGCACCUUCUACAUUCUGGACUCGAGCCUGCUGUGGUGGGAGAUAUUCAGCACGAUGGAAGAAGCCUGCAAGCAGUAUCCUAUUGAGGAUUACUCCGUGUCGCAGACCACGUUGGAGCAAGUUUUCCUGAGGUUCAGCCGAAUGCAGUCGCGGCCCGAUGUUUAAGACAACACAUACCUCAUUACAAUCGCUAAUUGUUAGGGUGGCCGCACACUAGAACGCCAGAAAUACUCAAAAUGCAUAUAUUUGAAUAUGUACUUGUGCUGUAAUUAUACUAAUGGUUCAGAAAGCUUAUUUUCUUGAUGGAAGAAUACGAACUUUCUGUAACGCCAUGGAUUCUCCAUGGGUGACCAUCGCGUAGCGAGCAACUCCGAAACAUUGCCUGAGACUUGUGCCUCGGGUGUAGGGUUCUGUCCUUACCAUGUACAUCAGCUCACUACUCUUGUUUCUUUCCCUCCUGAUCAAAUUUUUGGUAAGAAUCCUUUAAAGCUGCCCUUAUUUGUUCGUUCUAUUGAUGAGCUUAAUGCAAACCUUGGCACGCAAUGGUCCUUUACUAUGUUAUAGUGAGAUUUUGCUGACAUACAUCACGCAGCUGCUUGAUUCUCAACUGCUUAAGUAGACGUUAACGACAAAAGAAUCGGAAAUACUGGAGCAUUUUUGUGUCGUAUUUAUAUGACACAUUAGUUAGGUGUGUUCUACGGUGUGCGGCCUGGCUUAUCUGAGUAUUUCGAGAAUUUAAUAGAAAGAAUACUCAUUUGCUUUGUAUGCAAGAGUUACUGUAAUUAACGUAAGAUAUUGUAACAAAAUAUUUUCACAGAGUCUCGUACUUAAUUUUAGACGUCGCUAUUUAUAAAAACACUUUUUGCCUCUGAAUACAUUGUUUAUAAUGUUUUAUGUUGCGCCUAAUAUAAUACACUUAGAUCAUUUAUACGUCCUGAUAGACUGUGACAAUGCCGAAAAAAAUUGAGGUUAACUGUUAACCUCUAUUUUGAGUAAUGUGGUACACUAACACAAAGUGUUUACCAGUGGGAUGCUCCUUUGCACAGGAUGCCGGCUAGAUAAUGGAUACUAAAACGGCGCCUAUUUUUGCCGUGAAGCAAUAAUGUGUAAGCAUUACUGUGCUUCAGUCUGAAGGGCGCCCUAGCUAGUAAAAUUACUGCGAAAAUAAGACUUAACAUCUUAUAUCUCAAGGUGACGAGCGCAAUUGUAGUGCCGCUCAAAAUUAUUAGGCUUUUUAAGAAUCCUGAGCGGCACUGCAUCAGUUGAACGUCCUGCUCGUCUCGUCCCGUAUUUAAAAAAAAAAACAAGUGGCAUACUAAUCGCGAGUGUAAGACGUAGCAAACGUGGCCUGUUUUCAUCGUUUGUCUAGCAGAAAGAGGCUCUAUCUAAGCGUAUUAAUUAUCUAAGACAAUACAUAGAAACACUGUCUUAAAAUUGUUGCUCAUAAAUUUUUUUUUUUACGAUUACGAAUUUUAGUCAAUAUAUUGCUUACUGUUACAUAAACAAUACCGAGGACUAGCUAUAGUUAUAUAGAAGCCGAGUCGAUAGGCAAAAGAAUCAAAAUGGUGGCUUGUAAUUGCAAAUACAAAUAACAGUAAAGAUAGCAAUAAAUUUUGCCUUCGCAUACAAUAAAGAAUAUCAGUAAGUCCGUCAAAUCACUUAAAACUUUAUCGGUGUUAGUACAUAAAAGUUAAACACGUGUUUAACACUAGUUUUAAAUUCAAAUUCAAAUAUUUUUAUUUAAAAUAGGAUGUGAAAUCACUUAUUGAAAGUCAAAAAAAAACUACCACCCAUUCCAAAGUGAAUGCCUCAGGCCUGAGAAGAAUGGGCGCAACAAACUCAGCGGGCUUUUUUUUUCAUCAAAAAUAUGUUUUACAAUUAAAGUAACAUUGUACAAUUAAACUUAUUAUUUAAUAGCCUGAGGGCGGUCGCUCCAUUCCCAAUCUGUGGUAUCAUUAAGAAAGUCAUUUAUGUUAUAGUAACCUUUACCACACAAACGUUUUUUAACAAUUCUUUUGAAUAACGUAACACCUUUGUUUUGAACAUUUUCUGGGAUCUUGUUGUAAAAGCAUAUACGUCGCCCCACAAAAGACUUACUAACUCGACUUAGCCGAGUAGUAGGCAUCAUCAGUUUAUGUCUGUUCCUGGUGUUAACAUUAUGGUUAUGACAGUUUCUGGCAAAUUCACUUAUGUGCCUAUGAACAUACAUUACAUUAUCAAGAAUAUAUUGAGAAGCAACAGUCAAGAUGUUAAUUUCUUUGAAUUUUGCUCUCAAUGAUUCCCUAGGACCUAGGUUAUGUAUAGCGCGAAUAGCCCUCUUCUACAGCACAAAUAUUGUAUUAAUAUCGGCAGCGUUGCCCCAUAGCAAUAUACCAUAGGACAUAAUACUAUGGAAAUAACUAAAGUAUACUAGUCGCGCCCUAUCUAUGUCAGUUAAUUGUCUAAUUUUUUUAACCGCGUAUGCUCCAGAACUAAGUCUGUUCGCCAAUCCUUCAAUAUGGGGGCCCCAUUGUAAUUUGGAAUCUAGAGUUAUGCCAAGAAAUAUAGCAGAUUCCACCGGUUCUAUCACCUCUCCGUUUAACAAAACAUUUGCAUUUACAUUUUUGACAUUUGGUACGGUAAAUUUAAUGAAUUUAGUUUUCUUGCUAUUUAACAAUAGGUUAUUAGCGCUAAACCAGUACACGAUGUCAGAUAAAAUAUCGUUCACUUCGUCAUACAUAGCUUGGUUUCUUUUCACUUUGAAAAUCAGUGAAGUGUCGUCCGCAAACAAUACUACCUUAUGUUUUUUCUCUAUAAGAUUAGGAAGAUCAUUUAUAUAGAUAAGGAAGAGGAACGGUCCAAGAAUAGACCCUUGUGGUACCCCCAUACUGAGAGGAGUCCCAGGAGAUCUCCUGCCAUUCACGUCGACCCUCUGAAUUCUAUUGUUUAGAUAUGAAGUCAGAAGAUCGAGCGAAGUUCCUUUUAUGCCAUAGUGGUAUAGCUUCCUGACCAGCGUUGAAUGUUGAACACAAUCAAAAGCCUUAGAUAAAUCACAGAAGAUGCCAAGUGAAUUCUGCGAUUCCGUUCCGUUCCUGUAAUAAUUGUUCUUCAGUUAAUGUCACUGACGUUGCUAUAGUUAGGCACUGUCUAACAAAACACGUCUUAAUGCCAAGUUUAAUUUUUUGUUUUGUAAUGACACCGUAUGAAUGUAUAGAUUCUGUCUAAAUACGCUAGUUCUUGUUGCAAUUAAUUAAACGAGCAACUUUGAAGUUAUUGCAGGUAAUUUUCACUAACUUAUUAUUAAAAAUAAUUCAUACAUUGCGUGACGUCAUAAGGUCGCAGGAAGCCUACGCCUAGUUUCAAUUAUCAAUACAGUAAUAGUAAAUAAGUCAGGCAGCCUUGCAAAUAAACGCGGGAAACGUUAUACGUCCGAAAAAACCGACCAUAAGCAAAAUGUCUAUUUGUAAACAUUUUGCAUAUUCUUGGUUUGCUCUCAGAUAUAACUUUAUACCGAGUUUAUUUGGAAGAUCGUUAAUGUUUUAAUAGAACAUAGUCUAAGGUAAAGGAUAUCGAAAAUAUAUCUUCAAUACAUUCUUCGAUUGACCGAUAGAUAUUUGUGACAUUAAAAUUUAGUACUGAUUUUCUUUUGCACGUUGUACUGCCGCUUAUGUGAGUGUAGAUACCAAGUGUGUGUGAGUGAGACAGAAUGAUAAGCGAUACCAUUUUAAUUGUUUUCUCUAUUGACUCGGCUUUUAUUUAAUGAAAGAUAAGGUACUCACUGAUUUGCAAGUACUUAUAUUAGUAAACGUGACUUAUGUAUUCGUAAUAGUCGUAUGUGUUUACAUUAAUAAUUGUAAUUAUAAUAAUAUUUAAUGUUUUAUAUUAUUACCUCGGGUCUGUAUGUGGAAGUAUCUAGAAUAUUAUGUAAUAGAUAAUAUUAAGAGAUACGCCACUUAGGCUAAUUUAAAUUAGCAAAUAUUAUUAUUGCUAUAGAUGGUAAUGUUACAUAGGCCCCAGCAUCGAAUCUUGAGCGGUGAGUGAAAGUUAAUGAUAAUAUAUAAUAUAAUUGAUGUACUCCAACAUCGCGUCACUGAGACACGGCACUGUCUGCCAAUGUUACCGCACUUAGAUUUAGGAUUGGUCUCCGCUGCGCUCCAACUAGAUACCGCACUACCUAAGAACAAUACCUUUUCGAUUAUGGCAACUAGUAGAUGCUUGUGUGCGUGGCAACUUGACACUCAAUGUCAUCUUUCAAAUUUUGUAACAUACGCUUCGUGUUAUUUUACAUUGAAAUUAAUAAAAUACAAAAUACUAUAUACUAUAAUAUGUGAUACCAGUGUCUUUCUUAUUUCUUGUAGUAUUAUUUUUACAAGAUUUUACUACGCAAUCCGGCAUUUUAGUUUCAAUUAUUAGCAUAGUUUAACAGAACAUGUGGCACGUGAACGUCACACAUUGUUCGAGGCUGGCUCGAGUACGCCCACUUCGGCGUAGUAGGUAUUAGUUGCCGCACUUUGCGACUACGCCUGCGGUAUCUAGUUGGAGCUCAGCGGAGACCAAUCCUUAAUCUAAGUUACCGCAUUUCGCAAUGACAUCCCGUUUUCAAUUCUGCGUUUCAAUGUUACCGCUUAAGAUCCUUGCCUAAAGGUCAUACAUAGCUCAUUAGAGCAACCCGGCACCCGUCUAGCACAGCCUUGUCGUUUGCGUCACUCGGAGCUAUAAGUUAGCAAUGCGCAGUCGUAACCACUUAAGAUAUCUUUGUGAAUUGAACCUUAUGUUAAGGCCUUAAGGUUUAAUUCACAUUAAAUAUACAAUGUAACUUUUGUAUGGAAUUUUGUUGAGGUUAUAAACAGUAUAUAUAUAGCCGCGUUGAGCAAAUGAGCUGUGACCUUAAUCAGAUGCUUGCCUUUUUGCUAUUUCUAUACCAAUCCUGAGAAGUUUGCUAGUGAUACAAAUUUACUAUUCAUGUGACUUUUUAAAAGUAAUAUAUUUGUACUUUUUAAUAUUUUAUUAGAAUAUACGCAUACCAGUUGCACGCUAUGGUAGCAGUCAUGACAAAUUAUCAAAAUACUGUCCAAUGAACAGAUAUAUGUUGCAUCAAAUGUAGGUAGUUGUCAAUAUAAACGACAUUGAUUGUUGUUAUAAUGAACAUCAUAAUGCGCCGCUAGUUAAGUAAAGACUUGCCCCCAGGAAGACGCUAGCAACUCUCAGAUAUUUGUAUGACAUAAUUUCAGUGCCGGAACUAGGACUCUAAAAUGUGUCAGCUCUGGUACAGAAAUUCUUCCGAUUGGCCCUCGCCAAUUAGAGGUAUCACAUGACUGUUCGUAUACACCAGCAGAAGCACAGUUAUUAUAAACACACUACAAUACGGCUAGUAAGGUUAAAAUGCAUGUUACUAAAGCUUCGUUCUUUAGGAUCAAAACUAACAACACAAUAACAUAAAAAACUGCAUUUACAAUAAACAAAGUUAAACUUAACAAAUUCGAAAAACAAAUAUUUAUUUCGGUACCUACUUGAGCAAUACAUAAUAAAUUAAAAGACACAAUUAAGUAUUGAAUAUACUGCUGCGUUACUUUACGGUAGGUACUGCCCGUCACCAGGCGAGAGCGGGGCGGGUCGGCAGAAGUGGGAGAGGUAAUUAUCGGCAAAGUUACUUGGUUAAUUCGUUAUCCUCCCCUCCGCGUGGAGAAAGCCCGCUAUAGGCUAAUUUACUGUUUUGAUCUUUUGACCGUUUAAAUGUUGUAUUAUAAUAUCGUUGUGUCAGUGCGAAUACAGAAUUUUUUGAUUUUCGAUAUUUCUUGAACUGAAGUUUACAAAAAAGCUUUUUAUUAAAUAAAACUUAUAAGUUUAUUACCAGUUAAUAUGUACAAAAUUCCAUAGACCAUAGUAUGACGAUGGUGAAACAUUAUUUUUUUAAAGAAAUCAUAAGAUCAUAUUAUAACCUGUCCAUUAUAGUAAAAAUAAUACAAAGAAUUCAAUUCUAAUAUUUUUAUUUUGACGUGUUUAGUGAAAUAGUCAUAAUUUCGUACAACUCUGAACGAGCGGCGUCAUUCACAGCACGAAUCUAUCAUAAAUCACGUUUUUUGUUUACAAUAACCAAGCUUGUUUAUCUAGCAACCCGUAACAUAAACCACAUAAUGAUACCUCGAGUAUUAUAAACACAAGUAUUGGGUAUCAUGUUUCAAGUGGCCGGCGCCGGGUUUGGCGCCAAAACAGCUCAGCAAGUGGCUUCUGCGGGUGCGUAUCAGAGGCAUAUGAACUGUAUGCUGAUUUAAACGUAUUGUGCAACGUCGCAGAUAUAUAUAGGAGUUUCCAGCUGGCACACGAAUAGUUAGUCACGGCACUGAAAGUAGUCUAACGCAGUGGUACACUUAUAUUUAGUUGACGGUAACUUCGUCACACUUACCUACUGACACUAAGGCUGAGUUCUGUAGAGCUUAUUAAGACUACUUGCGUCAAACUUAGCUGAAUUUAAGCUUAGCGCAAUCUUUGAUUACGUUAGUGAUUACGUUACGCUAGUGAAGUUACUGGAAAAAUGAGACUUAACAUCCUAUGUCUCAAGGUUACGAGCGCAAUUGUAGUGCCGCUCAGAGUUAUUAGGUUUUUCAAGAAUUCUGAGCGGCACUACAAUGGGCAGGGCGUUUCAAUUACAAUCAGCUGAGCAGCUCAUCUCUUAUUUUCAUAAAAAAAAAACAUUUUUAUUAUCAAUUGACAUAUUACAUUAUACUGAGCUUUAGCUAAGACAGCGUUGAAAAGCCAAGUUUGCGUUUUAUCACACUCAGCAAAGUUUUAGGUGAGUAAAGUCUGUGCAAAGUCUAAAUUAGCUCUAUGCACUCAGUACGUUUAGCAAAGGUAGUCUAUUGUUAAUGUUAUUACACCAUUAUUUAUUAGUUAUAUCAUUUGUUGUAAAAGAAAUGAUAUCAAGUGAACAAAUACAGUAUUUUAUAUGUUAGUGUAUAUGCUAGCCAAUAUACCUAAUUGCCAUUAACAUCUCUUGAUGUAUUCCUAUGAACAAAUUACUUAAUAUUAUUGUACCCAGUGUAGUUAUGUUGUGUUCAAAUGUUUUGGGCACUUGUCAAUGUACAAAGAAUUGAUUGAACGCAAGCGAUAAAUUAAGAAAGUAAUGGAUACAAUGGUAUCCUAAUUAUAAUUUAAGCUUGGGCUCGGUUUGAACAGGCCUUGGUCGAAUUUACCACUGGACACGAAACCCUAGAAGAAGAACCCAAUAGAAUCAUGAAUGACCUUUUUCCGCGGGUUGAGGAGGUAAAAUUACCUAUUACAUCUUAAGGUAUGUAUAGGUAGGUACUUUUGAAAUGACUUAUUAUAAUAUUUUAUCUACACCCAUGCUUUAAAUCCUCUAUUAAAGAUUCUGAAACAGUUAGCUUAUUGCCAACAUUAGAACACCCAAUGUUCUAAUAACCAUUACAUCAUCCAAAAGAGCGUUGUAAUGUUGUACUGAAUUUCAUAACAACACUCCUGUGUUUUUUUUUAUCCCUUCAUGCGCAAAGAGUUUCAACAUACAGCCACAUUCUUAUUGCUCGAUGCGUGAUAUUUGUAUGAAUUUCAAAAAAAGAACAUUUUCGUUUACGCGCGCUCCAACCAUUCCCGCCAUUUUUCUUCGAUAUUUUUAUUGUUUUGUUUACAAAAAAAUAGCGAUUCAUUUUAAACGCUGCAAAAGAACAUUAUAUUCGAGUGAAUUCUAAUUAGUGCACUAUACAAAAUGUAAAUUACUACUAAAAUAAAUAAUUGUUUCAUUAAUACUUAGUUUAUUUGUAUAUAAUCAGUAAUGAAUGAUAUUAGGUUACUACUACGACUGGUGUUUAAUGUUAGCAGUAAGCUAACUGUUCCAGAAUCUUUUAGAGGAUUCAUAUUCUGGGUGUAGAUAAAGUCUUGUAUGCAACUGUUGAUAAGUAGGUAUUAAAACACUCGUGUGAUAAAUCCACAUUCGUGUUUUAAUUACACAACAGUUGCAUAAAUAACUAUUGUAUGUAUACCAAAUUUUAUUUAUUUUAAGAAAAGGAACUACUAUUGUACGUUGAAAUUGUACUUAUACGUGUAAAGACACAUGUUUUGAGUCAUCGUUAUUAUUUCUACAAAACAAAACAGCGCUUUUGCCCAUUUUUGACAUAGCAUUACACUUCGAGAUCUCGCGCAAGACGGCAUAUCACUUGCUGAGGCUAUCAGGCUCAGUAAGUGACUCGAGUGGUAAAGACUAAAGACGAACACGGUCCACGUUACGCAUCCAGUGGUAAGUUCGUCCAAGAAACAGACUGAAGCUGUGAAUCUGUGAACUGUUUUUUUUUCACUAAUUUUAUUUUUGUACUGUAACAGGUAACUAGUACUUGCUGGGUAAGUACUUAAAUAUACUUAAAAAUCUUAAUAAUGAUGCUUGGCAUUAUGCAAUGUGAAUUUUUAUUUUAUUAUUUAAAAAAAUAUGUUAUAUUUGUGCCUGUCAUGGCGGAUCGUAUAUAUUCCUAGUAUAAUUAAAUUAUAGAUGUAUUAUAGGUCUGUAUUUCAGUAUUGCGUUGAUUCUAAAUCGUAUUUAUACCAAAGGACUCGGUUGAGGCUGAGAGAUAAAAUUAUAAAUUUAAAUUAUAACUGGGCCUAGGUAUUGCACAUAGUUGAGUAAUUGUAUCAAAAUGCCUGAAUAACUUAAAACCAAACACAUCUUAAAAACAAAAUUAGAUUAUCAUUAAAUUCUACAUUUAAGACUCUCAAAACCUAAUAUUAUGCCUAUUAAGGGAUACCAUUCAAAGAAUAAGCUAUACCCUUCACUUCAAUAACAGGUUGAAGAGAUAGCAAGUGUGCAAAUCCUGCUUUAGGACGGUUUUUAACCUUCAAAUAACAUUUUUUCAAUAUGUAACAAUGUUAAUCAAUUAAGUGAACAAUUAAAUAUAAAUAAACCUCGUAAUGAGAAGUUUUUCUACUUUAAGUAAAUGAUUUUUAAGGUAGGCCUUUAAUUCAUUCGUUUUUACCUAGGUCCAAAAAUGCUGUUUAGAAAAUUUUACCGAUGUAUAUUAUAAAGUACAAUAAUCAUUUAUCUAUGCAAUGAAGUGAUUAUAUUAUGAUAUUUGUUUGUGAUAUAAUAUUGUGAUUAUCUCUUAUAUUUAACGUUUUAUAAAUAUACCACUUAUUUACUUGUACUUACGCAUAUUUUAUCGUAAUAGAGCCAGUUUUUUACAUUUUCUGGGUUGAAGAGUACUUGAACAUAAUACGAAAUGCUAUUUAUUAAAUAAAUUCCCUAAUCUUUAAGAUAAGUUACAGUACUUGUAUUGUAAACUAUUGUAUGUUUUCUUUGUUGAAUUUUAUUAUUCAUGUAAAUUGUACUUUAUUCAUGCUUAAAAUAUAUAUAAAUUAUUAUAUAAAUAUAAGAAAAGUGUUCGUUUGCAAUGUAUGUAAGUAGAAAUACAAAAUUUAAAUAAAGCUUUCGCAUAUA